CAUAAAUUAGUGGAAAAGGGAGGACUAGGAGAAGGAGAGUUACAAAAUGGAGUGUGUAGUAUGAUUGGUCAGUGUGGAAUUCCAUUGAAGGCAUUUCCCACAGCUGGAUCUGCAGCCCAGAACAAACAAAGCACUUGCUUGGGAAUAGAGAAACUAACUCAUAGACUUCUUCAUCCGCAGUAGGUUUUGCUGCUAAUGGAAAGCAAAUUUUGCUCAGCAAAACCACUGAUGCUUGUUUCCAGGUGAUUUUAGUUCAGUUAGCUAUAAUUGCAAUAUACAUUAGUUUACAUUGACCUAUGAUUGUUGUGGAGAUGGUUCAUAAAAAGUCAAUUUUAAGUAAUUUUAAAGUUAUUUUCUAGAAGGAGUGCAUUUGGGUAAAAAAAGGAAAAAUGUUGAGUCUCAUGUUAAUUUUAGAACAUAAACAGAGGAUUAGCUUAAACAAGCAAAAUUGUUAAAUGCUUUGUUUGUUGCGAAAGGACUGAAGAUGCUGCCACUCUGCCAAAAUUCCUAGAUACUCUGUAUUACCUCAAGUUUUAGACAGAAGCAUAGCAGAGUACUGUAGGAGAAGGUGUUUCGUCCGAGCGUAGUACACAGUCCAUCCGUUACUGCUGGAUGUUUGGAUUAUGAGUCCUGGUGGGUAACCGUGCCUCAUUGCUACAGUUGAAAAAAUGAAUCAAAGGAGACCUGUUUUGGAAGAAAAAAAUAAAUCAGAAUUACACUCAAAUGGAAAGAGGAACCGAAGUAAGGACUGUCUUCUGGUGAAUGCUGAAUUCUGUGAUGACAGUUGUGGCUAUUAUGGACAUCACUAUAGUGACUGCACGCAUCAGAAUUGGCAGAUCAUGGCCAAAAGCAGGAGGCAGGCCACACGUGGGGCAGCCUAUAUGUUCAACGCACAUCCCAAUAGCCUUACACCUGUGGAGGAGCGCUUCCUUGAUGCUGCUGAGUAUGGAAACAUCCCUGUAGUACGGCGAAUGCUUGAGGAGAUUCCUGGGCUGGAUGUGAACUGUGUGGACUACAUGGGCCAGAAUGCCUUACAGCUAGCAGUAGCGAACGAACACCUUGAGGUUACAGAACUUCUGUUAAAGAAGGUUAACUUGUCUCGGAUUGGUGACGCACUCCUUUUAGCUAUAAGCAAAGGCUACAUACGGAUUGUUGAGGCCAUUCUGAGUCACAAGGCUUUUGCUGACUCCAGAAGAUUAACCGCCAGCCCAAGAGAGGCAGCAAUGCAUGAUGACUUCUUUGCAUAUGACGAAGACGGGUCUCGCUUUUCUCAUGACAUCACGCCAAUCACCUUGGCAUCACACUGCCAUGAGUAUGAGAUUGUCCACAUCCUUCUGGGCAAAGGGGCACGAAUCGAUCAACCCCAUGACUAUUUCUGUACCUGUGAUACCUGCAACUACCAUCAGAAAUAUGAUUCCUUCAGUCACUCACGUUCACGUAUCAAUGCCUACAGAGGCCUGGCCAGUCCAGCCUACCUCUCGCUGUCCAAUGAGGAUCCAGUGCUGGCUGCUCUAGAGCUCAGCAAUGAACUUGCCUGUUUGGCCAAUAUUGAAAAGGAGUUCAAGAAUGAUUAUAGGAAACUCUCUAUGCAAUGCAAAAGCUUUGUAGUUGGACUUCUAGAUCUGUGUCGGAGCACAGAGGAAGUGGAAGCCAUUUUGAACGGCGAAGUAGAUGAGAGUGCUGAACUACCUGGCCGACCAAGUCUCACUCGACUGAAUCUUGCAAUAAAGUAUGAACUUAAAAAGUUUGUUGCACAUCCUAAUUGCCAGCAGCAACUUCUCUCAAUUUGGUAUGAGAAUCUGCCUGGAUUGAGACAGCAGACCAUGGCCAUCAAGUUGUUGGUGGUCCUUGGUGUUGCGAUAGGACUGCCCUUCUUAUCCAUGGUGUACUGGGUAGCACCGUGUAGUAAGCUGGGAAAAAUAAUGCGAGGCCCUUUUAUGAAGUUUGUGGCUCACGGAGCAUCUUUCACUAUUUUCCUUGGCUUGUUAGUGUUUAAUGCAGCUGAUCGCUUCGAUGGGAGCAAACUGCUGCCAAAUAUGACCGUCCAUGACCAUCCAGCACAGCUGUUUCGCAUGAAAACAACUACCUUCACAUGGAUGGAGAUGCUCAUCAUCUUCUGGGUAAUAGGGAUGAUCUGGGCUGAAUGCAAAGAGAUCUGGUCUCAGGGUCCGAGAGAGUACCUCUUUGAACCUUGGAAUAUGCUGGAUUUUGGAAUGUUAGCGAUUUUUAUAGCUUCCAUUGUCACAAGGAUGCUGGCGUACUGGCAUGCAUCUAUAGCACAAAGUUAUGUUGAUAAACACUACACAGAUAUAACAAAUGUAACUUUACCACCAGAGGUUGAAUACUUCAGACUGGCUCGUCUAUACUGGGUGCCAUCAGAUCCACAGCUCAUUUCUGAAGGACUGUAUGCCAUUGCAGUGGUUUUGAGUUUCUCUCGAAUCGCAUAUAUCCUUCCAGCCAAUGAGAGCUUUGGACCACUGCAAAUCUCUUUGGGAAGGACUGUUAAAGACAUUUUCAAAUUCAUGGUGAUUUUUAUUCUGGUAUUUCUGGCCUUCAUGAUCGGAAUGUUCAACCUGUACUCAUAUUAUUUGGGGGCUAAACAGAAUGAUGCAUUUACAACCAUAGAAGAAAGCUUCAAAACACUGUUUUGGGCCAUUUUUGGACUCUCUGAGGUCAAGUCAGUGAUUGUGAACAACGGACACAUAUUCAUUGAGAACACCGGUUAUGUGCUCUAUGGAGUGUAUAACGUCACUAUGGUCAUUGUGUUGCUCAAUAUGCUCAUUGCAAUGAUCAACAGCUCCUUUCAGGAGAUUGAGGAUGAUGCAGAUGUGGAGUGGAAAUUUGCCCGAGCCAAACUCUGGUAUUCUUACUUUGAGGAGGGCAGGACCCUCCCUGUACCAUUUAAUCUGGUGCCGAGCCCAAAGUCUGCGCACAGGCUGGGCCUGGGUGUAAAGUCACUUCUGGUGAAACUCUUCCACAAACAUGGAGCCAUUAUGAAGAACGAGGCAGAACUCAUUAGGGCGGAACAAAACCAACAAAAUGACAGGUCAUCGAUAUCAGGUAUGACUAUCAUUGGAAAAUUCUUAAAUCAAGCCUUGCAGAGCACAGUGAUGUACAGCUUAAUGCUUUCUUACGUAGAUCACUAGACAUCAUAAAAUUUAAACAGCUUCCAUUUCCUUUAAAUAUAGCCAAGUGAUGGUCAGUGACUGUCAAGAGUCUUUGUACUGUAACUAACACUGUGUUUAUAGAUUAUAGUAAGUCACACUGUUUCCUAAACCACAUCAACCUAUUUAAACCUAUUCCAAAAAUACUGGAAUGUCUCAAAAUAUUAACAUAUACUUGUACCUAUUAUUUUAUGCUAAUCAAGGCACGCAAUCAUGCAGAUUCAGGUCAAAUUAUUGUUCAAAUAAAACAUUAGAAUGUGGACAAAUCUUAUAAAGUGACUUUGGCAAUGGCUUGGUUGUCUGGUACAGACACGGUAGUUUGAGUAUUUAAACCUUAAAUUAAUGCUUUAAUGGGGUGAUCAACAGCAGAAAACAGUGUCUAUUAUGACACUUCUUUUAGGAAAACAUCCUGUCCUGGUCAGAGGAAUUAAGUAAUUCCGAGAUUCUACAUCUGAUUCCUGAGUCAAUUUAACAGACUCUUCAGGAAUCAGAUGUAUAAUCUUGGAAUUUCUUAAUUGAGCUCUUUUCAAAUACAAUGUAUAUACAAAGUACAAUGCAGUUAUGGUAGGUUUCUUCAUUCUUAAAGAACUAUGAGAUAACCAUCAGUAUUUCCACAGUUUCAAGGGGUUAAGUGUGUACUGCACACUUGAAAGGACGCCAUUUUGUCUCAGAGCUGUAUUGGACUGUAAACUGGGUCUCGUUGAGGAUUUUCUAAAAUUAUGAUUAUUCAUCAUCAGGACAGCUAUUUUCUAUCAUCAUGCUCCCAGACCGAUUCAUUAAAAUCAAUGAGGCAGACUCAUUUUUCCUACAAACUUAUUUCUCCUGCACCCCCACACGCACACAUACAAUAUACCAGACCUUUAAAACAAUGUGUACGUUCACUUUCUCAACAAAACAAAGUUCACAGUCCAAGAAAGAGGAAAUCUUUGACACAAUGGGGUUCGAGAUUCCCCUUGCAAACUUAGUUUAGCAGUUACUUAGCAGUAAAGUCAACAUCUGUGCGUGUAUAUGUGUGUGUGUAACCUUGCAUGUGUAUGUGUGUUAAAGUCGUCCUACACUGUAACCCCCCUCCUCUCCCUCUCUACGUAGUUGAGGGUCAUUCUUUUCAAAGGUAAAGUGCAGGUUAUUGAGUUUUAUUACUUUAUCAUUUUUAUAUGAAUAUCUUUUAAAAUAAUUUUUACGUGAAAAUUUUUGGGUUGUGAAACGAAUCAUGGGGAAAUUUGCUCUGAAACAAAAUGCCGUUCAGGAUUCCCCUUGUGAUUUAAAGCCACAGAGACAAGAUUUCACAUUGAGAUUUAUUUCCUUAGGCGCAGUUAAGAUUUUUGGCCACAUACAGUAAAAGCAGUGUUGGGUAAGAGGACAGAUAUAAUCAAGUGGAUUGGUAUGCUUUGCAUUGUAUAUUUGUGUCAAAGGCGUAUAAGAUUCUUUCUGACUUACAAACAAAUCCUAUUACGAAUGUGCUUCUGGAAUGUGCUUCUGGAACUGAACUUGUUCAUAAGAAGGGGACAACUUGCUGUAUAAUUGUAAAUAUUGUAUAUUGCAGCAGGUGCGCUGCAGUAUGUUUUGUACAAUACAUAUGAGCUACUUUGCAUCUAGGAAAGUCCAUUGUUCUUAAAUCGGGGACAUACUGCAUUUUUGAAGGAAAAUGAAAAGAAGAAAUAACAUUACAGCACUAAGAAUCAUGUGGUAUAAGAUACAUGCGCUGUGUGUAGGAAGCACUUUAGCACAUUCCUUUUGGACCAUGGUUUGUGGUGUUGUCUCCAUAUGUCGGCAUCUUGUACCAAGACAAAUUCCUUGUAAUGUACAGACAAGUAUGCCUUGGUAAAAACAAGAUAAUUCCUCAAACUAGUCCAUGUGGCACCAACAACCAUCAUGCAGUCAAAGUCACGGAUGUUAAUGGUAGGUGUGUAUGCAAAAUUAGGAGCUGAAACGCAAAGAUUAAAUGCAGAGAAAGCUCUGUUGUGCUGAUCCUGCUGAAAUGGAUUUUAUUUUAUAUUACAGUAUACUGUAUGUGAUAUGACAGUGCAUGUGUGGUUAAAAUAACUUUCAUUUUAAAUUUACACAGAAGAUAAUGAAGCGCCUAAUCAAGCGGUACAUCAUCAAAGCUCAAAUGGACAAAGAAUUUGAUGAAGUCAAUGAAGGUGAACUGAAAGAAAUAAAGCAAGAUAUUUCCAGUUUGCGCUACGAGCUUCUUGAAGAAAAGUCGCACAA